AAGUAUGGCAAGAAGACCGUGAAGAACAGCCCCUACCCCAGGAACUACUACAAGUGUUCGGUGAAUGGAUGCCUAGUGAGAAAGAGAGUUGAGAGAGAUAGGGAUGAUUCAAGUUAUGUUAUAACAACCUAUGAAGGCAUCCACAACCACCCAAGUUAUUGUCACACGGGCACCCAGGCCUCCAGCGUAACGGAGUCCUCCAAGAACAAUUAGUUUGACUUGAUGACUCAAUUCGGAGUAGAUGAUGAUAUUGACGAUGAUCAAGCAGUGAAGACAGAGGAUGAGUCGUUACAGCCUUUAGGUGUGAGGACCUUGAAGGACCCAAAGCAAAAUGCCAACGGAGAGAAGUAUAUAUACAUAAAUGCAUUGCAUGUAGCUCUAUUUAUUUAUAAGAUCAUGCAAAAAAAUUUGGUGGAUUUUCUAACCUGAAUUCCCGUGUCAUAGAAUGACUGUUUCAAUGAUAACAUUCUCACCUGGAAAUCAAGAGAUUCCUCUGGCAGAUGUAAUAAAAUGGAGGAAAGAUGGCCAGAAAGAAAUUCUAUGAUCCAAUUAUCCAAGAAGCUAUUACAGAUGUACUCAUGGUACUCAUUUUGGUUGCCCUGCUAAAAAGCAAGUGCAAAGAAUUGAUGAAGACCCUACAGAAGUCCCAGCCUCCAAUCCAACAGAUUAUACUCUCAGUUUUAGGGGCAGCACAGCGUCCAAUACAGAUCUUGAGUCAUUUUCUUCUAUGGACAAUUCUGCUUCAACCCCAUUUUAUGAAGAUUUUGUUGUUGAAGAACCAUAUGACUCCGAUGCUGAGACACAGCCACUACGAGUUCCUUAUAGUCCUUCUGAAAGUGACGAUCACGCAUCCGACGACUUUCUCGACUCCCUCCCGAACCAAUGUUUAACGAACAGGUCCGAAUAGUAUAGCUCAAGCCCACGAGUGUUUUCGUCUUUUUAGAACUUAGAGUAUGAUGUAUAACUCGCAAGUCACUUGUAUGUAGCAAACGCACUCUGUUUAUUUAAAAAUGUAAUGUAUUUUUUAAGGGAUUAAUUGUUUAAUAAUUUAA